rnacentral:rRNA from 1 species
AGGACGAACGCUGGCGGCGUGCUUAACACAUGCAAGUCGAACGGAAAGGCCCUUCGGGGUACUCGAGUGGCGAACGGGUGAGUAACACGUGGGUGAUCUGCCCUGCACUUCGGGAUAAGCCUGGGAAACUGGGUCUAAUACCGGAUAUGACCAUGGGAUGCAUGUCCUGUGGUGGAAAGCUUUUGCGGUGUGGGAUGGGCCCGCGGCCUAUCAGCUUGUUGGUGGGGUUAAGGCCUACCAAGGCGACGACGGGUAGCCGGCCUGAGAGGGUGACCGGCCACACUGGGACUGAGAUACGGCCCAGACUCCUACGGGAGGCAGCAGUGGGGAAUAUUGCACAAUGGGCGCAAGCCUGAUGCAGCGACGCCGCGUGAGGGACGACGGCCUUCGGGUUGUAAACCUCUUUCAGCACAGACGAAGCGCAAGUGACGGUAUGUGCAGAAGAAGGACCGGCCAACUACGUGCCAGCAGCCGC